rnacentral:lncRNA from 1 species
ACCGACGAGACAAAUAUCUCUUCAGUGAAUUUCUAAUAUAUUUAGAAGAGAAUAAGAUUCUCUCGUAGUGGAUUUCUCUUGGAACAUCACAAUACAAUAGUGUGUCUAAAAGGAGAAAUCGAAUCCUGUUAGACAUGGUUCGAUCCAUAAUGGGCUUUGCAAGUCUGUCGAUCUUCUUUUGAAGAUAUGCACUCGAAUUGACUUAU